GAAGGUGGAUGAUUUUCAUCAACAAUAUCCAUCAAAAUCAAGAUGAAGACUUUUUUUUUAAAAGAAACAAGAUCUAGGUAAGAUAAUAUUCUUCUUUCUAUCUUCAUUUUAGCUUCUUUGUAUUUGUGACAUUAAAGAGGGAGAAUCAACAACCAAUAGAUUUGACUCAAAAUUCUUUAUUUGCUAAUCUACUGAUAUCGUAAUGUGUGAAGUCUUGCUUGAGAAUGCUCAGGGCACCUGGCUGUAGAAGGAAGAAUAGAAAUUGUGAUAACAAACUCCUAAUUCUAAUAGAAUACUAACAAUGCUCUAAUUAGACUAUAAUAAUAGUAAAUAAACGUAAUCAAAUUCAAAACAACUCAAAGAAAUUUCAAGCAAACAAUAAAAUUCUUAAAGAAAUAUUAGAAUGAUCACAAAUUUUACUCAAAUAUAUGUCAAUUCAACCUUAAUUUAAUUCUAGUUAAAACCCUAUUGAAUUUCACUCAACUUUAGACCAAACCUAAUUAAAUCUUAAACCCUAAUAAUUCCUAAACCCUAAGUCAAAUCCUAAAAAAAUCUUAAAUUAAACCCUAUUCCAAACCCUAAACCCUAAACCAAACCCUAAAUCAAACCCUGACCAAAUCCUAAACCCUAAUCCAGACCCUAAUCAAAAUCCUAAUCCAACCCUAAACUCUAAUCCAAAUCCUAAACCCUAAACCAAACCUUAAAUCAAACCCUAACCAAACUCUAGUCCAAACUCUAAUCCAAACCCUAAUCCAAAUCCUAAAUCAAAUCCUAAUCAAAUCCUAAAUCCUAAUCCAAAUCCUAAUCCAAACCCUAAAUCCUAAUCCAAAUCCUAAUCUAAACCCUAAAUCCUAAUCCAAACUCUAAUCCAAACCCUAAUC
rnacentral:lncRNA from 1 species